UACGUAGGGUGCAAGCGUUGUCCGGAAUUAUUGGGCGUAAAGAGCUCGUAGGCGGUCUGUCGCGUCGGCUGUGAAAACCCGGGGCUCAACCCCGGGCCUGCAGUCGAUACGGGCAGACUAGAGUGCGGUAGGGGAGACUGGAAUUCCUGGUGUAGCGGUGAAAUGCGCAGAUAUCAGGAGGAACACCGAUGGCGAAGGCAGGUCUCUGGGCCUUACCUGACGCUGAGGAGCGAAAGCGUGGGUAGCGAACAGG
rnacentral:rRNA from 1 species